rnacentral:rRNA from 1 species
GCGAGCGGAACCACAGAUUUACUUCGGUAAUGACGUUGGGACACGUGAGCGGCGGAUGGGUGAGUAACACGUGGGGAACCUGCCCCUAAGUCUGGGAUACCAUUUGGAAACAGGUGCUAAUACCGGAUAAUAAAGCAGAUCGCAUGAUCAGCUUUUGAAAGGCGGCGUAAGCUGUCGCUAAGGGAUGGCCCCGCGGUGCAUUAGCUAGUUGGUAAGGUAACGGCUUACCAAGGCGACGAUGCAUAGCCGAGUUGAGAGACUGAUCGGCCACAUUGGGACUGAGACACGGCCCAAACUCCUACGGGAGGCAGCAGUAGGGAAUCUUCCACAAUGGACGCAAGUCUGAUGGAGCAACGCCGCGUGAGUGAAGAAGGUUUUCGGAUCGUAAAGCUCUGUUGUUGGUGAAGAAGGAUAGAGGUAGUAACUGGCCUUUAUUUGACGGUAAUCAACCAGAAAGUCACGGCUAACUACGUGCCAGCAGCCGCGGUAAUACGUAGGUGGCAAGCGUUGUCCGGAUUUAUUGGGCGUAAAGCGAGCGCAGGCGGAAAAAUAAGUCUAAUGUGAAAGCCCUCGGCUUAACCGAGGAACUGCAUCGGAAACUGUUUUUCUUGAGUGCAGAAGAGGAGAGUGGAACUCCAUGUGUAGCGGUGGAAUGCGUAGAUAUAUGGAAGAACACCAGUGGCGAAGGCGGCUCUCUGGUCUGCAACUGACGCUGAGGCUCGAAAGCAUGGGUAGCGAACAGGAUUAGAUACCCUGGUAGUCCAUGCCGUAAACGAUGAGU